rnacentral:rRNA from 1 species
AUUGAACGCUGGCGGCAGGCCUAACACAUGCAAGUCGAACGAGUGGCGGACGGGUGAGUAAUGUCUGGGAAACUGCCCGAUGGAGGGGGAUAACUACUGGAAACGGUAGCUAAUACCGCAUACCAUCGGAUGUGCCCACAUGGGAUAAGAUAGUAGGUGAGGUACAGGCUCACCUAGGCUCCGAUCCCUAGCUGGUCUGAGAGGAUGACCAGCAAGACGGUGAAUGUGACACGGUGCAGACUCCUACGGUAGGCAGCAGGGGGGAAUAUUGCACAAUGGGCGAAAACGUGAUGCAGCCAUGCCGCGGGUAUGAAGAAGGCCGUCGGGUUGUAAAGUACUUCCAGAAGAGAAGCGGUACCCGGAGGAGAAGCACCGGCUAACUCCGUGCCAGCAGCCGCGGUAAUUC